rnacentral:sRNA from 2 species
GCCAUUUUUCUCCAUGUUGAUCAGUGUCAGUGAUCGACAAGCUGCCAAUUGUGAAAGAUCUUUGCUUGCUUUCUUGCUUGCUUGCAAGGGCCUAGAGUUGGGAGCGCGCGUGUAUGUCUACUAUAUAGUAUAUAGUUAAGGAGGAGGUUGUUCGCUGUGCAGACUAGUACUCAACGCUGCGUACAGCAAUUACAAACACAUUAUUGCUCUGUGCUACUACUGACAAUGGCCGGUUGCUGGGCCGGUUGCUGGGGUUCAUAUCUUGGUUCACUUUUUACUUCAAUGAAUGGCAUGCUCGGUCUUGUACCACCUCGAAUGGGGAAGGACUUGUAAGGCUGCAUAUUUAAGUGAUUUUUUUUUCUUCUUUUUUCCCCUUGUUUCACAUGUAUAUAAACCCACGCUUGGAAUCGCGG